rnacentral:rRNA from 1 species
GAUGAACGCUGGCGGUGUGCCUAAUACAUGCAAGUCGAGCGAACAGACGAGGAGCUUACUCCUCUGACGUUAGCGGCGGACGGGUGAGUAACACGUGGAUAACCUACCUAUAAGACUGGGAUAACUUCGGGAAACCGGAGCUAAUACCGGAUAACAUGUUGAACCGCAUGGUUCAACAGUGAAAGACGGUCUUGCUGUCACUUAUAGAUGGAUCCGCGUCGCAUUAGCUAGUUGGUAAGGUAACGGCUUACCAAGGCAACGAUGCGUAGCCGACCUGAGAGGGUGAGCGGCCACACUGGAACUGAGACACGGUCCAGACUCCUGCGGGAGGCAGCAGUAGGGAAUCUUCCGCAAUGGGCGAAAGCCUGACGGAGCAACGCCGCGUGAGUGAAGAAGGUCUUCGGAUCGUAAAACUCUGUUAUUAGGGAAGAACAAAUGUGUAAGUAACUAUGCACGUCUUGACGGUACCUAAUCAGAAAGCCACGGCUAACUACGUG